ACAUAAGUAACGAUAAAGCGGGUGAAAAGCCCGCUCGCCGGAAGACCAAGGGUUCCUGUCCAACGUUAAUCGGGGCAGGGUGAGUCGACCCCUAAGGCGAGGCCGAAAGGCGUAGUCGAUGGGAAACAGGUUAAUAUUCCUGUACUUGGUGUUACUGCGAAGGGGGGACGGAGAAGGCUAUGUUGGCCGGGCGACGGUUGUCCCGGUUUAAGCGUGUAGGCUGGUUUUCCAGGCAAAUCCGGAAAAUCAAGGCUGAGGCGUGAUGACG
rnacentral:rRNA from 1 species